rnacentral:rRNA from 1 species
UCGGACGGGAUUGGAGAGCUUGCUUUCCAUGAGAGUGGCGCACGGGUGCGUAACACGUAUGUAACCUACCCAUAUCAGGGGGAUAGCCUCUCGAAAGAGAGAUUAAGCCCGCAUAACAUUACGGCAUAGCAUUAUGAUGUAAUCAAAUAUUUAUAGGAUAUGGAUGGGCAUGCGGAACAUUAGCUAGUUGGUAAGGUAACGGCUUACCAAGGCUACGAUGUUUAGGGGAUCUGAGAGGAUGACCCCCCACACUGGUACUGAGACACGGACCAGACUCCUACGGGAGGCAGCAGUAAGGAAUAUUGGUCAAUGGGCGAAAGCCUGAACCAGCCAUGCCGCGUGCAGGAAGACGGCCCUACGGGUUGUAAACUGCUUUUAUACUGGAAUAAACCCCGAUACGUGUAUCGGGCUGAAUGUACAGUAAGAAUAAGGAUCGGCUAACUC